rnacentral:rRNA from 1 species
GACGCACGCUGGCGGCGUGCUUAACAAAUGCAAGUCGAACGAAGUGUCGAACGGGUGAGUAACGCGUAAUCAACCUGCCCUUCAGAGGGGGACAACAGUUGGAAACGACUGCUCAUACCGCAUACUUAAGGCGUGGAUUGCGUCGGAUGAGCUAGUUGGAGGGGUAACGGCCCACCAAGGAGAUGCUCAGGAGCCGGUCUGAGAGGAUGAACGGCCACAUUGGGACUGAGAAACGGCCCAGACUCCGACGGGAGGCAGCAGGGGGGAAUCUUCCGCAAUGGACGAAAGUCUGACGGAGCAACGCCGCGUGAGGGAUGACGGCCUUCGGGUUGUAAAGCUCUGUUAAGCGGGACGCGGUACCGGAAUAGAAAGCCACGGCUAACUACGUGCCAGCAGCCGCGGUAAUAC